GGUUGUAAGAGAAGCCCAGCUUCCCUGUCUGGUGAGGUCAUUCCCGGUAAAGCAUGCAAGGGGAUUCCUAGCAAUCCCAAGGGUGAGACUGCAGAACUCCAUGGCAAAGGAAGGCCCUGGAUCACAUGUCUUUCUACAGAAGGGACCCACUUGGGGCAGAAGGGCCUGGCUGAGAAUGAAAUGUGAGCCUUCUUCCAGCUCCUGUGUCAGAACAGCAGAGAAAGGAGCCCAGGAAUAUGAGUCAAUUACUACCUACAACACAACAAAGAAAACCCUGCAUCUUGCCCGGGUGGUGAAACACACCAGCAGUGUCAGCACACAGCAGUCUGAGGCAGGAGGAUGAUGAGUUCCAGGCCAGCCUUAACCACCUAGUGAGAUGGUGUCUCAAAACGGCGAUGACAAAG